GGAUUUUCCCUCUGCCAUUCUUCUAGAGCAAGCCUGGGUCCUUAGGAGUGGGGCGUUUUUAACCACUUCCACCAUCCCUCAGAGCUGCUUUUCAUUUCUCAUCCCUGGCUCAUUAGACGGCGCAAGCAGGAGGUGAAGACUAAGGCAGAGGGGCUUUGGAUGCAGGCCCCGAUGAGCUCAAGUAUUCAGAAGACUGAGGCAGGAGGAUCCCACGUUUGAGGCUAGCUUGGACUACAUAGCAAGACUCCAUCUACAAAAACAACAACAAAAUAAAUAAACAGAAACAUUGGCCGGGCACGCAGGCAAAUCUUAACAAUUCAGUAGCAAGACCAGAUGUGUGCAGUGCACAAGGAGGCCAAAAGAAGGUGUUGGAUGCCCUGGAACCGGAGUCAUAGAUGAUUGUUGGCCACUAUUAGGGUGCCGAGAAUUGAACCCAGUUCUCUGGAAGAGUAGCUAAUGCUCUUAGCCACUGAGUUGUCUCUCCAGCCCCACUCCAUAAAGAUUUUUAUGACUGUCCUUUGCGUCUCUAACUUGGAUCCUUCUUGCUGUUGCAUUACUUUAAUCCCUCUUCAGGCAAAUUGGGAGAGCAAGUAGGUUAAAGUUUAUCCCAGGCCCUAGUUCUCUGCCAGUAGUUAGCUGAUUUUAUCUGCAUGUUUUAUCUGCUGACUUUAUCUGCAUGUUGUGUUGACUAUCCAACAAGUGUGUCUCUGUGAAACUCUUGGCUUCUGCUGCCUUCUACAUCCUGUCUAAGGCAUGUGACUCCAGGCAGAAGAUCACGUGUCUUUCAGAGCUCUGAGCCACCUCCCACUUGGGAGGCGGGGGAGUAACUCAGUAUGACAAAGGUUAUGUCUAAUAAAUUAGCACUUUUAAUAUAUGUACUCUAUACUGCGACAUAAUGAUGUUCUCCAUAAGACAAUUACAAGAUUUAUAAAAAGUACACAACAGACGGUGAGAGUCAAGAAUGGAAAAUCACUUUAAAAACAUAUUAGCGAACAGAUUCCCACUCCCAGCUCCACCCCCAAGUUCAUCAGCAUGGAUGCCUUCGUUUGGAGGUAAGCUUUAUUUAACGAUGACUUUCGAAUCAUUUUUGAUGUGUCAGACUGCUCUAAGCACUUUAUAUGUAAUCACUCUUUAGUCUUUAUCUAAUUUUAGGGCAUUUUCAUCACCCACGAAAGAAAUCCUGGAGCUGGUAAAAAUGGCUCAGCAGGUAAAGGCACUUGCUGUUGAGACUGACAACCUGAGUUCAAUCCCUAUGAUCCAGAUGGCAGAAGAGGAGAACCAAUUCGCAAAGAGGACCCAGGUCUGGUUCCCAGAACCCAUAUGACAGCUCACAACCAUCUGUAACUCCAGUUGCAAGGGAUCUGAUGACCUCUUCUGGCUUUUGAGAACACCAGACUCUGGGCCUUGCCUUCCCAUGGAUGCAGCCCGUGCUGGAUGAGGCUCUCUAGGGGAGCCCUGCAGCAGCCCCACCUGACAUCAUUCUCAUUCAGGCAUUCCGGAAUCAUCAGUUACAUGUGUACCCUCACAAGAUGCACAGCCAUGCUGAACAAGACAGACUCAGUCCUCGUUCUCACCAAGAUACCAUGAAGUUUAUGAAGAACAUGUGUGCCAGGCAACCGUCCCUGCUGAUCAGGGACAGCUUCUCGGAGACGACGUUUAAGCAGCAACCCAAAGAGAUAGGAGGAGGAUAAAACAAAGGGAGGUGGGUGGGGAGUUGCAGCUGUGUACAGGUUUUUGUUUGUUUGGUUUGGUUUUUUGA